ACCCAGCGAUUCCCGUAAUCAUGUGUGGAUGUCCCGCUGGGGCUGACUUCAAAUGCGGCGUACUCAAAUGCAGAGCGUGCUACACUCCCUGGGUCUUCUGAGCCUCGAAAGGCUGAAAGCUUGGAGGCAGAUGUGUCUUUCUUGUUUAGAGAUGCGUCGAGUGUUUUCUUUCCUCCUCGGCCUUGCUGAUGGAGUGUAUGCAGUCCAGACCACAAGCUACAGAUUUGGGAACGUGACGUUGGAAGAGGUUCCAAGCACUUCCUUCUGAGAUCAAGUUUCCUCCUGUCAGAAGGUACGUGAAGUCGGCGUGAGACAGACGGAUACGGCAUCGUGCAGUGAGACAGCGUGAGACAGACGGACACGGCAUCGUGCAGUGAGACAGCGCGAGACAGACGGACACGGCAUCGUGCAGUGAGACAGCGCGAGACAGACGGACACGGCAUCGUGCAGUGAGACAGCGCGAGACAGACGGACACGGCAUCGUGCAGUGAGACAGCGUGAGACAGACGGACACGGCAUCGUGCAGUGAGACAGCGUGAGACAGACGGACACGGCAUCGUGCAGUGAGACAGCGUGAGACAGACGGACACGGCAUCGUGCAGUGAGACAGCGUGAGACAGACGGACACGGCAUCGUGCAGUGAGACAGCGUGAGACAGACGGACACGGCAUCGUGCAGUGAGACAGCGUGAGACAGACGGAUACAGCAUUAGUUUUGUUCCACCUCCAACACUUCCAACCCGUGUGCUGUGGAGAACGUCACUCUUGCAUUCAAACAAUGCAAAAAAAAAUAAUAUUAUCCAAACAACACCAGACAGACACUGCUGAGUCCUCUUCACUCAUCUCAGAACUCAGGCUAGUAGGGAACUUUAGUUUAGUUUAGCUUAGGAUGGUCUUGUUUACAGUAGGUUGCUA